AUUCUCCCAAACUCAAACAUCUGUGUAUACAGUAGAAAAAGGUGGCUAAAGGGUUUCUUACACUUCUCCCGUUUUCUUCCCAAAUUCAUCAAAAUGUCUUUUGUUCCCAAAAUCUUGUGAGAUUGGAAUGAGAAUCGAGCGAUUUUAACUUCUUUUUUUUUUCGAAGAAAAUCCGAAGUGGAUGCAGUGGAUGGAUGUAAUAAAUGAACUGCCAGCAGAAGUGAAGGAAAGGAUUUUGGAGUGCUUGCCUUUUCGAGACGCGGCCAGAACUGCUGUGCUCUCAACUCACUGGAAGGAUGUUUGGUUGCGGCAUGGGCGGAGGAUGUUUGGUUGCGGCAUGGGCGGCUUGUGUUUGAUCGGGAGUUUUUUGAAUGCUUCUCAAGGUACGAAGAUGAUGAUGAGAAAGAAAUGGCUCAGAUUAGCGCAAUAAAUGAUAUUCUCUUGCUCCGUGCUGGAUCCGUUAAGAAAUUUACUCUACACCUUAGCGAAGAAUCGGAUCCUAUGCCCCAGUAGUCUGAUUUAGAUCUGUGGUGUCGUUUUCUUUCGAGAAAUAAAAAUGCUCUAGAGGAACUUAAGUUGUUUAUUGCACGUACCCAUAAGCUGCCAUCUUGUAUAUUCUCGUGCUGAACAAUUAAGCAACUCACUCUGGGCGGUUUAGUUUUCGAUUUGACGAUCCCUCGCCCUGGAUGUAUAUUUCCCAACCUCACUUCAUUAGUUUUCUGCGGUGUUGAAUUUAGUGAUAACAUUAAGGGAAUUGGCUACACUAUUCCUAAUCUUGAGGAGCUGUCAAGGGAUCUCUAAUUUUGAGAUCUGCAGUCCAAAACUUGAAAUAUAUGCUGUUGCUGGUUCUCUGUUUGAGAGGAAGCUUGAUGAAUCCAGAUGUUUUACGCGUUAUUUGAAUACAAUUAAGACCCUUACCUUGAGCCCCGGUUUGUUGCCGCGGUGCCGUGUAAAAAUGCAGAAAUAGCCAGAGUGACAUUCCCAACAGCAAUAAAUUUGGAAGUGAUUUAUCUGUAUGAGUUUAAUGUUUCAUGUCGAGAGCAGCUUGCCUUUGUUUUGCAGUUGCUUCAGAAUUCCCCCAUCCUAUGUAUGCUGAAGAUUUUGGCACUCAAUAGUCUAUGUUGUUGUGAUAUAGCAACGGGUACAAGACUUAUGGAGGAUCCAAACAGUUGCAUUAUUAAGCAGGAUCUGAAGAUUCUUAAAACAAUCAUGAUUGACGCUUAAUGGAGUUGACGCUUUUUCCUCGUGCAUCUCAGAAAGUAAAAUUUGCUUGCAUUGAACGAAAGGACAAAUUGUUUUCAUUGAACAAUGAAAACGGCACCCGGCUCCUCUUUCGGACUAUUUGAAAACAUAUGUUUUUUUUUUUAACCUUGUAGGAAUUUAGUAUGAUGAAAGCUAGCUCCAUGGGUUCAGUUUAGUUUGGAUGUAAAGGAUGAUGCACCUUGUUGGAGUAGACUCCAAGAAUGUUCUUCUUUUUGCUAAUGUUAAUUGUACUAGAUUUUACAUA